GACGAACGCUGGCGGCGUGCCUAAUACAUGCAAGUGAAGUUCAGUGGCGGACGGGUGAGUAACACGUGGGUAACCUACCCAUCAGAGGGGGAUAACACUUGGAAACAGGGUCUAAUACCGAAUAAAGGGGGAUGGGCUCGCGGCCUAUCAGCUUGUUGGUGGGGUGAUGGCCUACCAAGGCGGUGACGGGUAGCCGGCCUGAGAGGGUGACCGGCCACAUUGGGACUGAGAUACGGCCCAGACUCCUACGGGAGGCAGCAGUGGGGGAUAUUGCACAAUGGGCGAAAGCCUGAUGCAGCGACGCCGCGUGGGGGAGGAAGGCUUUCGGGUUGUAAACCGCUUUCAGCCAUGACGCGGUAGUGGCAGAAGAAGCACCGGCUAACUACGUGCCAGCAGCCGCGGUAAUAC
rnacentral:rRNA from 1 species